rnacentral:rRNA from 1 species
AGCGUAGACGGACUGGCAAGUCUGAUGUGAAAGGCGGGGGCUCAACCCCUGGACUGCAUUGGAAACUGUUAGUCUUGAGUGCCGGAGAGGUAAGCGGAAUUCCUAGUGUAGCGGUGAAAUGCGUAGAUAUUGGGAAGAACACCAGUGGCGAAGGCGGCUUUCUGGACUGUAACUGACGCUGAGGCUCGAAAGCUAGGGUAGCGAACG